ACUGUGCAUCAUCUAAACAUCAGAAGUCACCACAACACUACACCUAUGAUGAAAAUAAUCAGAUUAUCUUAUCGAUGUCCAUCAUAAUCAGUGAUUUGUGAUCCCGAGCAAACAACUUACACAUCGCUGACCGUCAACGUCUCGGUAAACAAGAUCUGGACCAGCAUUGUGAAGACAUGUCUGUAAGAAACCUAUUAUUACUCUCGAAUUCCACUGUCCAUGGAAGUGGGUAUUUGGAAUGGGCGGCUCAACACAUCCAGGAAUUCUUGAAAAG
rnacentral:lncRNA from 1 species